rnacentral:rRNA from 1 species
CGGUAGCAAUACGUCAGCGGCAGACGGGUGAGUAACGCGUGGGAACGUACCUUUUGGUUCGGAACAACCCAGGGAAACUUGGGCUAAUACCGGAUAAGCCCUUACGGGGAAAGAUUUAUCGCCGAAAGAUCGGCCCGCGUCUGAUUAGCUAGUUGGUGAGGUAAAGGCUCACCAAGGCGACGAUCAGUAGCUGGUCUGAGAGGAUGAUCAGCCACAUUGGGACUGAGACACGGCCCAA